GACGUAGGGCGCAAGCGUUGUCCGGAUUUAUUGGGCGUAAAGAGCUCGUAGGCGGCUCGUUGCGUCGGCUGUGAAAACCCGCAGCUCAACUGUGGGCUUGCAGCUGAUACGGGCAGGCUUGAGUUCGGUAGGGGAGACUGGAAUUCCUGGUGUAGCGGUGGAAUGCGCAGAUAUCAGGAGGAACACCGGUGGCGAAGGCGGCUAUCUGGACAGAAACUGACGCUGAGGCGCGAAAGCUAGGGGAGCAAACAGG
rnacentral:rRNA from 1 species